GCCUUCGUGGUGUAGUAGUCAGCACGCUCGGCGCGUACUCGAGUCGUCCGUGGUUCGAGUCCCAGUGAGGGCA
rnacentral:tRNA from 1 species